rnacentral:rRNA from 1 species
GAUGAACGCUAGCGGCAGGCCUAAUACAUGCCAGUCGGACGGGAUUCAGGAGCUUGCUUCUGAUGAGAGUGGCGCACGGGUGCGUAACACGUAUGUAACCUACCUUUAUCAGGGGGAUAGCCUCUCGAAAGAGAGAUUAAGCCCGCAUAAAAUCACAGCACAGCAUUGUGUAAUGAUCAAAUAUUUAUAGGAUAAAGAUGGGCAUGCGGAACAUUAGCUAGAUGGCGGGGUAACGGCCCACCAUGGCGACGAUGUUUAGGGGAUCUGAGAGGAUGGCCCCCCACACUGGUACUGAGACCCGGACCAGAAUCCUACGGGAGGCAGCAGUAAGGAACAUUGGGCAAGGGGCGGAAGCCUGAACCAGCCAUGCCGCGUGCAGGAAGACGGCCCUACGGGUUGUAAACUGCUUUUAUACGGGAAGAAACCCAGAUACGUGUAUCUGGCUGAAUGUACUGUAAGAAUAAGGAUCGGCUAACUCCGUG